rnacentral:SRP_RNA from 1 species
UAUUAAUAGUCCAACAAAGACACUAAGAACGGGUCAGGGCGGGAACGCAGCAGCCAUAAUUCGUGAAAUUGUGUGGGCUAUUACAUAAA